CCCAUCAAAACCAAAUAAAAGCAUGGAGUUUUUUCCGUUUGUUCCUUCCAGGGGGUGCUUGUGUCUCUUUGGUAGACCUCCUGUACCUGCAAUAAAGGCCUCUUUUCUUUCUCUGUUUUCUCUCUAGCAUUGGAGGAUCAAACAGAUGGUGCUGUGAUUUGAGUGGGAAAGUUUUGCACCUCCCAGGUAUUACCCCAUUCCAGUCCCCUUCCCCUACUCCCCUACGGACUUUUCCUCCCUCUUUUCUUCUUCUCUCCACCCCUGCCUUGCUGUUUCCAGCCUCCGUCCACCACCAGCCGCAGGUCCACGCAGGUACAACUUUGGCAGGCUUCACGGUGGCAGCUGAUAAAAAGCACAAAUUGGAUCAUGAUCAUCCCACUGGAGUAACUGUCGUUCCCAAUGUGGAUCCCCAAUGGGAUUUUCAGCAGAAUGCAGAAGUUCCUAAACAGAUAGCUUGAAUGUCGGAAUGCAUCCUGAGAGGCCUCCACAAAAUUUUCCAGAAUGAACUUAACUAUCACAAAAUUCAUAAAUGAAUUCAAAGGCAAGAUGAAAACCUUGCAGAGUUUAUGUCUCAUCUGACAGAGGCGUUCAUUCCAGAUCUGACUCACCAGGGGACAGUCUCCUUAAUUCACACCUCUCUCAGGCAGCCCCAGACAUUGAGACUAGAUUCCAGUAGUCUGCAUUGGCCCUCAAACCUCUCCUAGUGAACUGUUAGAUGUGGCAUUCUGUGUCUUUAACAACAGAACACACAACUUAAACUCCAAGAUAAACCCCAGGGCCAAUACCGGGCUGCAGCACUCAGGGCUCAAUGCAAGUCAUGAGCCAUCCCCAAGCCCAGGAUCUGAGCCCCUCUGGAACCACACUUCAGGUGCAGCAAGGAAAGGUGUUGAGCACAAGCACGCCCAGAUCCAAGGCCACCUCAUCCUGCCCCUCUGCAACCUGGAGGUCACUGGAAGAUUGGCUGUCCUCUCCGCCAAAGUGGCUAUGCCAUCAACCACCCCACCCUCCCAGGAUUCUGAGCCACUGUUACCUCCAGAUUCAUCACUGAUUAACUGGCCCAGAUUUGCCUCUGAUGAUUGAUGAGGUUCAGGGUUUAUAGCCCCACCAAGGUUACUUUUUUUUUUUUUUUUUUUUUGUCUUUUUCCUUUUUAUCGGUACCAGGGAUCGAACUCACGACUGCCUGCUUGCAAGGCAGGCGUUUAUGCCACUGAGCUAAAUCUCCAGCCCCUCAAGGUGACUCUCUCAGAGCCACGAGUCUCGCUGGACAUUUCAGGUAAAACCUUUUCUUUCCUUAUCAACACAGAGGCCAUUUAGUAUUUUACUUGAAUAUUCAGGCCUAUGUUUGUGGUGCAGUCUUUGUAGUGGGGCCGAUGGCCAACCAUUGUGACCUCUUCCGACGAAACUCGAACUAUUUUUCACAUACAGCUUUCUUAUUAUCCCAAGCUGCCCCACUCCUCUGCUAGGUAGGGACUUUCUCCUAAAACUCAGUUUCUCUUUCACUUUCUCCCUACCGCCAGCAGGUGUCCACAAAUCUACAUCUCCCAUGCCAUUUACACAUCCCAUGCCAUCCACAGUCAUCGAGGAGGGUGGAAAACGUGAAUAGGCUCAUUAAGACACAUCUCACAAAACUUAUUCUAGAACUACACCAGUCUUGGCCUCAGCUUCUUCCUCUGGUGCUAACCAAGCUCAGGGCCCUUCCCCAGCCCCCACCUUCCUGAGCCCCUUUGAGCUCACAUAUAGCUGACUGCUCUUACUUCGUAAUUUAUCUCUCUCCCCAGGUCUUCCUCCUUUGGCAUAUUAUAACCCAAUCCUUAGUUUUCCCCAACAUCAGCUGCACCAAUAUACAGAUCAUUGUCUCCCACAACACUGAAGGAGCCAAACCAGAACCCCCAAUAUCUACAACUGACUUACUGUACCUCAAAUCUUCUCAGUCCAGAGGGUUACAACCUAAGUGGAGUGGACCUUACCUGGUCUACCUCACAACUCCAACAGUGGUCAAGGUUGCUGGAUUGCCAUCCUGGUUCCACACUGCCCAGACUAAGCAGUGUUCACCGAUUAUGGACUCCUCUGGCUGCACUUCUCUUUAGUGGGCAUCUCAGCUCCUGGCUCCUAACCAUUCUUUGCCUUACCAAGACUCACCAUCACCACUUUCUGACCAGUGGUUUCUUACCCUGUCUGGUUCCUCGUCCCUUAUAUUUUGCUAGUUCUUUGUAGAUGGCCUUUUCAGGUGAUUUUCCCAUCAUACACAAGGUCUCCUUUCUGCUACCUAGUGAUUAUCUCAGGCUUAAUCGUUCUUAACUGCUAUGGACGUGCAAAUCUUCCUGGCCUAAAUCUUCACUCUCCUAAUACUCACACAAUCACAAUCAUACUCACCUUCAAUCUAUAACUUCUACCUCACAAAACACGGAGGAACAGCAGGCUACACCCACACCAUCACAGCUCAGGCCAGCUGGACCUCACGUCACCUCAACAUUCCACAUUCCCUGGUGCUCACCUGCCUAUGUUAAAGAUCUACACAGCAAUGUACUUGUAACUAGUAGUCCUAGGUUCUAUCUCCGUCCAGAAACCCCACAUGAGUCAUCCUGUCAUGAUGCCCGUUACUACCACUAGCCUGGCUAGGGAUGUGAAUCCAACUGAAAGUGGAUUCUGGACUAAUCAUGAUGAUCAUAUAUUCGCUAGCAUCACUUGGACAGACAAGUACUCCUGGACUCAGAUGUUACAUGUCACCAUCAGGGACCUGCAAACCUCCUCAGUACUCCCAGAAAGCCAAACAUGGAGACUUCAAUUACACCAAGUACCGACCUUUUACAAAAAUGACAUGUUCUUAACUCUACACCAAAGUCAUUCCCUGAAAUGCAAUCUAUACCACUGAAGCUCUUUCCUUCCCUUUCACCAUUCUCCAAUCCCCCUACCCACACCUCAGUAACACAUACUAGUUCUUACAAUCUGUCCUCCAAGGCUGUAAUACAACUCACCUUUCCAAUCACUGGCUUUGCCUGCUCCUGCAACAGAAUUCAUAUACAGCAUAUCCUAUCACCUGAGAGAUAUCAGCCCUUCAAACUCACGCACAAACACAAAUUGUCAGGCCUCUAACUUUAACACGAGGACCAUCAUAGCCAAAAAACCUCCCCAUAUCCUGCACUCAGACCAAACCAGUGCAACACCUGUGGUGGGGUUUCUUGAGCCUUGUGCCCAUAUACAAGAGAUAACAAACAUUACCAACCCUAUGUGCCCUCCCUGUGGACAGUUCUUUGUCUGUGGGCUUGGAGCACCCACCUGUCUCCCUUCCCAUGGCAGGACUCCUGCAUGUUGGCAGCAGUGGCCCCACAGGUGACACUGAAGACAUAAUCUGAAGUCAUGCAGAGACCACAGAUUAAUUCUCACACAGUGUUCCGUAGGUCAUCCAGGGCCACAGCACCAAUCCUCACAGGGAUUGGCAUCUUUUCAGCUACUGGCAUGGGGGCCAGGGGAUUGGAAUGGUUCUCACUUCUACACUCAGUUGACUUACGAUUUAAAAACCUUUAUUUAUGAAGUAUCAAGAACUAUGGACUCACUCCAAGACUAGAUUACCUCUCUCGCAACACUGGUCCUCCCAAACCACUGAGCCCCUGAUGUGGAUUGUGGGGAGAGAUGGCACCUGUGCUACAUUAGAAGAAUGUUGUUUUUUUGUAAACCAGUCAGGUAUAGUCAAGGGCCGAAUUCACAAGCUCCGAGAGUUGGCAGCAAAUAUAGAAAAAGAUUCAAGGGGUAUAAUACACCCUCUGUUGGCCCUCCUUAGAUUCAUGGGCACCUAAGGUAGUACCUAUCAUAGGUCCUCUAAUCACGAUUGGUUUCUCCUGUUUAUAGCACCAUGUGUUUUUAAACUCCUUUUAAAUCCCUACACUCUGGAAGGCUGAAGGUUAUCCAUUCCAGGAUAUAAACUUUCAUCACUAGAGAACUUCUACUCAUGACGGAACCCUCGGCACCAGCCUCUGUAUGAGCUGUCAUUCCACAGCAUGUCAUAGCUUCUACCGCGACACCCCUGAACAGCAGGAAGUAGCUGGAGAGAGACAUGUCAUCCAUAACAACCAAAAGAUGGGAAUGAUGGGUUUUCCGCAUGUGUGAGUUAACCUGGCGCUGGACCACGCCUCCCUUCAGCACUGCCUUCAACAAUCUUCUGGAGAACCCAAAUCAGACCUCCUGCUUUUCAUGGUGUGCCACUGCUCCUCCAAUCAGCUGUCCAUACAUCAUUCUGCCCGCUCCUUCAACUCCACCCCCGGUCAAAACCAAAUAAAAGCACUUUUUCUUUGUUCCUUCCAGAGGGCACGCUGGUAGUCCUCCUGUGCCUGCAAUGAAGGCCUCGUCUUUUCUGUUUUCUCUUUUUAUCUCUCUUGCAUCAGAAAACAAACAUAUCUGCAGUACCACCACCAAAGAAAGACCUAGCCAUUUUAGAAGAGCUGGUGUGGUGGUAUGUGCUUAUAACCCUGACAGGAGGAUUUCAAGUUUGAGCUCAGCCUUCACAGGGAAUAUAACACAAGAUAAGGCCCUGGGUUCUUUCCCCAAUAAGGAAUAGAGAGAGAGAGACUAGAAAACUGUCACUGUUCUGGGGUACGGUUACCAACCCUAUCAAUAUUAACAUUAUUCCAUCUCCACAUGAAAUGAAGCACCUGGCCCCCCACAGCUAGAACACAACAACCUGUCCUAGCACUGGCCUGGUAAGCUCAGCACAGAGGUGGUCACAACAGCAGGAGACACAGCCACCCAGAAAUGCCACCACUGCUCAUUAAGUCCCAGCAUGGGGGCUGCCAGGUCUUUAAAGUCAUCCUGCUGUAAAUGAACCCUGACAUACACUGCACAUAACCAGAAAGUUUAUAACACCAUUAAUCCUUGCCAUUAGGGAAUAUGUAAGUCACAUGUAGUAUGGCAGUAACUUCCUUAAACUCUUAAUUCAGAGAGCUGUAAUUAUAUCACGCAAUAAUGUUUUGAUUACCUAUAAAGUUUAUCACAGACAUAAGACCUAAUGAAUGAAUGUUAAACAUAUUAAUUCAGUUCAAGAAAAUGAUCACACAAUCAGAGUUGCAGGUUCAACACACUAUCCUAAUUAAGAUAAAAGAUGUCAAUGGAGAACACCAAUUAGUCCCUUGUUUCUAUACAGCUUACAUUUAUUUCUCUAGCUAGAUGACUUCUAAUUAUUAGUUACAUACCUAGUUCCAGCAUAUGGUACUGCAUCCUAAAUUCUCUGUGGAAUGUGUGUGUUUUUGAGACAGGGUCUUGCUAUGCAGUUCAGGCUAGCCUUUGAGCUCACUUUGUUUUUUGGGGUUUUUUUGGGUUUUUUUGUUUGUUUGUUUUUUUUUUGUUGUUGUUGUUUAUUUUGGUUUUUGGGGGGGGGAGGGAUACUGGUGAUCAAACUUAAAGCCUUGCACUUGCCAGGCAGGCGCUUAUGAUUCUGAGCUAAAUUCCCUGUUCUUUGAGCUCACUUUGUAGCCCACGCUGGUCUCAAACUCACAACAAUCAUCCUGCCUCAGUCUUCUGAAUGCUGUGACUAUAGGCAUGUGCUACCACACCAAGCUAUAAAUUCUUCUUUAAUAUCAUUCAGAUACCACUGAUCACUGUCAAACCACAGCAGCUCUCUUAACAAACGAAGAAAAGCACAGUGGAGGAAAAACUACUUCUAAAGUACUUUUCAGGUGGGGUCUGAAGGUGACAGAACAGUAAGCAGCAAACUAAAAAGUCUCUCUGAGAGAAAUAGCCCAUGGGACUGGGGAUUUAGCUCAGCGGCAUAAGCGCCUGUCUUGCAAGCAGGCAGUCGUGGGUUCGAUCCCCGGUACCGAUAAAAAGGAAAAAGAAAUAGCCCAGAUGCUGGAAUAUAGCAUUCUGGAGAAGGCAAAGCAGGAAUGAUGUAGGUUCCCUUGACCCAGGGAGAAACUAAAAUGAGAAUUGAAGCCCACAGAAAGAAUUUUAAAAAAGAAAAACUUGAACAGAAGGCGGUAGCUGGCGGUGCUCUCACUAGGGCCGGUCCCAUUGUGCCAGAAGCACUGUUGGAACCCGGAGAUACACAGGCACAGGGAAGCUGGUGGCUGGCCAGCCUGAAGGCCUUGGUGAGGAGAUGUAAGGGUGGAAGGGAGCAGCAAACCAGAGAACUGCACUGGCUGGCGUGUCCGAACUCACCAAGCUUCAACAAACUGCCCAGGUUCCCACCACUUCGACUCCCGGAGGCACAGUCGCACUAGGGCGCGGGCACACUGAAUUCAGGGAUCAGCCAGACCAACAGAAAGCAGAGCCAGUAGAGGACCUACAUUGACCUGCGGGGAGUGUUGGGAAUAAAACCUUUCCACGGGAAAUGGUAAGACAUCUUGGAACUGGGCAGGACUGGCAGAAACAAGGUAUUGCAGAGACCAGUCAGUUGUUCCCUUCCCAGACGGGAUUGGUCAGAUGUGCCUAGCCUGGGUCACGCCCCUGAAUGGGAACCAGUAAGGUGUCCCAGACCAUUUUCCUACACACUGCGCACACUAAUGUGGUGAAGGCCUCUGCAAGCUGGCUGACCCAGAGGGGAGGGGCCAACAUACACUGUCCCUAUUUGCACUUCAAUAGUACACUGGAGUGGGCAGGGUCACCUAGCCAGCAGGCUUCAGAAGAACCAGAAUCAACAACAAAAAAGGGACUGCGGCCUUCUUUAUAGGCCUGUAUGGAAGAAACAAAAAAUAUGAGAAGAGGAAGCAAUAAGAAAAGCCUCCAGCCCCCAAACCUUGAGAACACUGAUCCAAGAAAGGUAAAUACAAAAGAGAUUGAGGACAGCAAACAUGCAAUAUCAGACACAGCAUCAAUAGACAUAAAGAAAUAUAUUCGGGACCUCAUAGGCAAGUUCAAAAGUGAAAUAUUUAACCAACUAAAGUUAGAUAUAAAUAGAUUAAUAAAAGAAAUGCUAAACACCUCUGAAGAAGAUACAGAUGGAAGAAUGGAGGAACACAAACAAAGCAGAGAACCAUUUGAUGAAGAAUAUAAAGAAAAUAUAGAAUAUAUGAAGCAGAUUCAAAGAGAUUACCAGGAAAUUAAAAACUCCAUUGAAAGCUGGCAAAACUGCUUGAAAGAAACUAAGGGUAGAUUAUCCAAACUGCAGGACAGGUUUGCAAUGUAGGAUUAUGAAAGGAAAAACUUUUUAAAAAUAACAAGGAAACAAGAAGUAACAAUACAAAGGCUAGAAGAUGACAAGAGGAUCUAUAACUUGAGAAUAAAGAAUGUGACUGAAGAAGCAGGGGUACAAACAAAGGGACUGUAAAGGCUAUUUACAAAAAUAAUUCAGGAAAACUUCCCAAACAUAGGAAAAGGAAAUGAUACUCAAAUAUAUGAGUCAUACAGAACUCCAGCCACCUACAACCAAAACAGAGCUACACCCAGGCAUGUAAUAAUCAAGAUCCCAGAAAUUCAAUAUAAGAACAGAAUAUUAAAAGCUGUUAGAGAUAAGAAACAGAUCACCUAUAACGGAAGGCCCAUCAGAAUUACGGCAGGCUUCUCAAUACAAACCAUCAAGUCAAGAAGAGCCUGGAGUGAAAUAGUCCAAGCCCUGAAAGAAAAUAACCUCCAGCCCAGAUUGAUAUACCCUGAUAAACUGUCUCUAGAAAUUAAUGGAGAAAUAAGAUCCUUCCAAGACAAAGAGGAACUGGAGAAAUUCAUGACCACCAAUCCAACCCUACAGAGAAUACUGCAGGGCAUUCCAGAGAGAGAGAAAAGUACCAGGAUUCCAGGAACAGUGGCAGAGAGCCCUCAAUGAAUGGAGCAGAAAGUAGCAUGAAGAAGACAAGCAGACAACUGAUGGCAAACAAAAAGCAUAACAGAAAUGAGGCAGAGAAGGUUGGUUAUAAAUUCUAAUAUAGAUGGCCUUGAUACACUAAAUUAAAAAAAAAAGAAUCACAGAUAGAGUAGAUCAGGAGGUAGGGUCCACUGAGAUGCUCUUUAUAGGAAAUAUAAUUAACCUUAAAAAGGGUAUAUGGGCUGAAAAUCAAAUAUGGGAAAACAGUGCUCUAUGUGACAAGGAGCCAGAGUAAUAGGGGCAACUCGACCAGCACCUGCAGAUAGGUUGGAAAGACAGACUUUAAUAGGUAAAGGAAUAUAAGUAGAGAUCAAGUCCAGGAGGGAGAAGGUUUGGAACCACUUAUGUAAAUAGCAAGUUGCCCCCCAAUUUAAAACUGAGGGUCUAGAUGAGACCCAAAAAUUCACAGUGCACCCUGGGGAAGUGAAAGGGGAGGAAUGGUCUUUAAAAAGAUGGCAGAAGAUAUUAAUAUUAAUAGUGUAUCAGGAUUUAAAACCCACAUUACUCACACCACUCUGCUUAGAUUUUAUUCUGUCCUAGUUUGUCAUUUGCAUUAGAUUUGAAGGCACAGACAGCUAUCCCAAAAACAUCAGGAUAUAGCUAGUAAUCAUCCUUAAUUUCCUAUUAAUUUGGAGUCCUAUAUGACUUAUACUGGUUUAUCAUGACUGAUCUUAGUUAAAACUGGUUUGAUUGCUGUUUGGUAUUGACAGAUUUUAUUCAAAAUUUAUAUGAUUGAUAGUAUCAAGUCUGAGAGUUUGGCAACUACACUGAAGAUGACAAGACUCACUAUGAUACCCAUUCUGGCUUGAUUACUACCUGUUUUUGAAGUUUUAUACUACAUACAAAGUUCUGUUUUUAUUAAUACUGUUAUGUACUGACAUGUUCAAUUAUACUAUGUCUGAUAUAUAGCCAAUUCUAUUGGAGAUAACAAGAGACAACACAGGAACCAUGGUAGAACUCUUUGUACAAUGGUCUUACAUGUCUUUUUCAUUUCAUGUGUUUAUAGGAAUGUUUUGUUUGGUCCGGCUUUGUGUCUCCCUCUAAUAUACAAAGGAUAGAAAUACAUGUUAAGACUCAUGGAUGCGUAGAACCAAUAAACAGUUUAUGAGAACUGAUCUUAUGACACAUGAUGAAAUGAACAGAUACUUUGAAGAAAAAGACACUACAGUACCCAGUGCUGAUCCAGGAGUAUCAUAAUGUGAAACCCAGCAAUACUAUUAUUCUUUGCUCAGAGUGAUUUUCUAUUGAACAGAACUGGUUGCAGUCUCACUGUUUGAAACCCCACUUUAUAUGCUCCACUUUUGUAUCUUGAAUAUAAGAGGACAAUAUGUAAAUAUCAACAAGUGAUUUCUGUUUAUUCUUUCUUUGGAAGUAUGUCUCAUUUCUACCCACUUUGAUUUGUUUAGUCCUUUUUUUUUUUUUUUUUUUUUUUUUUUUUAUCGGUACCGGGGAUCAAACUCACAACCGCCUGCUUGCAAGGCGGGUGCUUAUGCCGCUGAGCUAAAUCCCCAGCCCCAGUUUAGUCUUUCUUAAAAUUUAAAAAAAAAAAAAAAAAGAGCAAAGGGAGAGAAAGGUGGAAACUACUGUCAAUUUCUUACUGUCUUAUCUUGAACUCUUGCACUGUUUACACAAUUUUAUUAGGUUUUGCUUUGUUCUUUUUGUUAGAUUAUAUGCUUUCAGACAGUAAGGGCAGCUAUUUUGAAUAUAAUGGGAAAUAUUAUGGUAAUCAUGGUUUCCUAUUGUAUUGUUUUGAAGUCUUAUAAUGCUUUCCUUCAUUUGGUCUGAUUUUGUUUUGUUUGAUUUUAUUAUGUGAGAUGGUAUGAACGCUAUUUUGAAGAAAAGACAUUAUGGUAGCUAUUGCUGAUUUACUAUCAUCUUGUAUUGAAGUCCUACCAUGCUUUUGUUCUUCUAUAUUGAUUGGUUCUAUCCUGUUUUAUUUGAUUUUAUUAUGUGAUGUUAUAGACAAAUUUUUGAGCAAAAUGAGGUAUUAUAGCAGCCAUUGUUCAUUUCCUGUUACUUGGUUUUGAAGUCCUGUAAUGCUUUCAUUCUUCUGAAUGUUUUUUUACUAUAUUGUUAUGUUUGAUAUUAUUGUGUGAAGGUAUGCUCAACUAUUUCAAAGAAAAGAGACAUUAUGUUAGCUACUGUUGAUGUCCAGUUGUUUUGUUGUGAAGUGCUGUGUUGCUAGCAUUUUCCUGUUCUGAUUUGCUUUGUUUCGUUCUGUUUUCUUUUGUUCUCUUUAAAAUAAAAUGUGUGAAAAAAAAAAUAAACUACUUUUCAAUUUAGCUCAGUGGCAUAAGUACCAGGGUCAUGAGUUCGAUCCCUGGUACCGGUAAAAAUAAAAAAAAAAAAAAAAAAAAUCAAUUAAAAAAUUGAUCUCGGUCAUUUCAGUCUUAAAACUGAGAACACUUCAACCAUCAGCUGUGUAUUUUAUUAUAUUCAUCACCAGGUGCUUCCUGCUGUCCAUCUACGUUCAGCGGUGUCUGCCAAGCUGACCUCAGCAGGCUCUGCCCUCCGCUUUAUGGGCCACAGCCAGGAUUCCCACCCUGCCCUGUGGCACCAGCCACACCGCUGUUCUCAGGCACAUCUGUACACGGCAUCAGUGCUAUGUUAGAGUCCCAAGACAGCAUCACAUUUGGCCAAUUUCUCCUCCCUCCCCCAGGCCUUGAUCCAGGUUUGUCUGCGAUGUAGCACAAACCCCCUCACCUACUCUAUCUUUUCACAGCUAGGCACAGUGGAGCAGGCCUAUAACCCCAGCACUGUGGUGGCUCAGUCUAAGCCCAGUUGAGGGAACUUAAGACUCUUGUUUUAAAAUAAAAAUUACCCAGAGUUCAAUCCCCUGUACCAGGAGGAAAAAAUCUUUCCAUGUGUCCAGGGACUCUUCCUCCAGAUAACGGCUAAAUAAACCCUUAGCCCAGCCCUACUUCUCUCAAACACCCUAGAUACUCAUUCCCUCCCCAUUAAAAAAGGUUUAAAAAAAAAAAAGCUCAGGGCCAGGGUGGUGCACACUGUAAUCCUGGCCCCUUGGAGGCUGAAGCAUGAUUACCAUGAGUUCAUGGCCAGCCUGGGCUACACAGUAAGCUGAAGUCCAGCCUGGGCUACACAGUGAGACUGAGUCUCAAAGAAAUAAAAUAAAAUUUAAAAAUCCCAGCUUCCUUCUAUUCCAGCUAUUCAUGUUAAUGAAUCAAUGGAAGACCUGUCAUUUCUGGCUUACAGAAAGAGCCAUUUCAACCUGACUUUUUUUUUUUUUUUUUUUCUUUUUUUGUCUUUUUGAGACAGGGUCUUUUUGUGCAGUUCAGGCUGGCCUUGAGCUCACUUUGUAGCCCAGGGUGGUCUCAAACUUGCAACGAUCCUCCUGCCUCAGCCUCCCAAGUGCUGGGAUUACAGGCAUGAGCUACCAUGCCUGGCUAACCUGACAUGUCUUUUCUGUCCCCUAGACCAAACUCCUCCCCGCUGGGCACAUCCCCUGGGGACCCACACCCUGCGAUCCUCGGAAUCACAGGAUGUGGCCCUGUGGCAUGUCGGUGUGGUCUCUGGCCACCUCUUCUGCUGGAGCAGACUCUCUUGACCCAGGCACCCUACCCUGGCACAGCUCCUCACUCUGCGUGCACUUGCAGCUUGGGACAGCUGGCAGAUGCUCAUGACUUCAGAAGCAAAAGGCCGGGGUAUACCUAGGGGUAGAGUCCCUGCCUAGCAAGUGCAAGGCCCUGGGUCCCGUUCUCAGCAAAGGAAAUGCAGAAAAAGAACACUUGAGGCCAGCCAGCAGGCUCACUGGUGAGAACCCAGACUCCAGAAGGAGGCCAUGCCAUAUUCCUUCCUUGACUGUGUCUCCACUCCACGGCUCCCCAAGGCAGCCCCUGGUGUGGGAUCCCAGGUCCGCAAAUCUGCUGCUCUGUUCUUCUGGAAGGAAGAACACAGAUGGAAGCCCCGCUCCACAACCCAUUGCCCAAGCCUCAUUCCUCACCAAUGCCACAGCUGCCACCACCAGUGCCCCAGCAGAGGCAGCAGGAAGACUGCCGGCCUCAGGCUCAUACAAAUGGCUUGGAAUUUGCUCACAGUUCAGUGCUAAGGAUGAAUUAAAUAGAGCUUUGAUCAAUGGCUCCAUCUGAUCUGACCCCUAAAUCCUGGAAAUACAGCCAAUGCUACAUCAUUAAAUUUUAAUCUGAUAUCAUAAA